rnacentral:lncRNA from 1 species
UCACUUUUCACAAACCCUACAUACCAUUUCCUAAAUCUGCUUCUUCGUUUUUCAGAGAUUCAUCGUCCUUAGAUGAGAUUCAUAAGGACGACAAUGUUUUGAUGCUUUCUUCAUCUUCAUGGUUUGCUUGUGGUCUUUCGUAUCCGUCAAAACCCUAAUCGACCGGAGAAAUCGUCAAAAGUUCUUCACAAUAUGGUUAGUUUCUUCUCUCAAUUUUGUUAUUCAAUCAUCUUUCAUCCACAUUCAAUUUUACAAACCCUAAAGCUCAUCUACGGCUUCAUCUGUAAUUAGAUCUUAUACUGUUUAUUUAUGUUAUUAGAUCUUAUAGGAACUUUUUUUUUGUUCAAAACCCAUUCGGCAGAUCUUAAUCAUUUCCGUUGUUAUUUGUUUGUAGAUCGUUUCACAUAUUUUGCAGGUAUGUAAUUUAUAUUAUAUUGUUAUUUAUUGUAAAUGUUUAAUGUGAAUUUUUGAUGAUUUUUAUGUUUUUUUUUGUUGAUCGAACCUGUUAUAUGUAAGUUUAAUCAACAAUCUAUAAAAAAAUUGUUCUUCAUCUCCUUCUCCGCAGAUGCUUAUUGUUUGAUUUUUCUUUUUUUUUCGUUGUUUGUUGAUGAUGAUUUUGCAUUAUCCGAUUCCAAUCAUAUGAAAUGAUAUUUUGUUGAUGUUUUGAUUUUGUUCUCAUGUUACUCAUAUUUUUAUUUACAGUCUUUUAGUUUGUUGUUGAUGAUGAUAUGUUUUGAUUGUGUCCGAUGUGUUUUGAUUGUGUUGAUGAAGAUUUACAACGGUCUAAUAAUUUUUCAUCCGGUAUAAUGUUUUUGUCUUCGGAAUAUUGAUUUUGUUUCUAAAAAAUAAAUAUUUUUUAUUUUUUUUAAACCUUUUCUUUUUAUUUUUGGAUUUGGAAGUUUCUCAAUUGAUUAAAUUAUCUUUUAAAGCUUAUUGAUUGUUGAUUUAGGUAUAUUGAUUCUUUUUCUAUAAAUACUUUACCGUUUUAUUUUUUUAAAAACCUUCAUAUAUAUUUUUCAGAUAUGCAUCCCUUGCACAACAGUCCUUCAUUUUUAAAGCUUAUUGGUGAAGAUGACCAGAUAUUUUUGGUGAAGAGCUUCUUUCAGACUCCUUCCCCUACAAGGAACUAUUGAAUGGGUUCCUAUGAGAAGUUGAAGAAAAGUUAUGGAUCAUGAAAACAACGCUCCUUCAUUGUUAAAGUCGAUUGAGGACUAUGAUCCUAUAUUUUCGAAUUGUUCGUCGACCAAAAACAGUUAUGGAACAUGAAAACAACGCUCCUUCGUUGUUAAAGUUGAUUGGGGACUAUGAUCCUAUAUUUUUGUUUUUGGCUGCAACUAUGUUGGACAGAGAUAUGCUUGCUAUUGCUGUAAAUUGGUACCAUGUCGGUUGGUUUUGCUUGAUUUGUGACGAUGCGUCGGACAAACAACAUUGGGAAAAUAUACAGCCUUGAGCAUUGAUGACCAAUGUAUAUCUCUACUUGAGGAAUUCUCCAAAGAUCCAGAGCCGAUUGUUUCAUAGAGCUGUGAAGUUGCGUUAAACAUACUGGAUUUUGAACGAUCCGACAAACCAUUCGAGGUACUUGGAAGAUUAAGUCUCUUAUCUGGGUGGUUGUUACAGGUUUAGGAUAUUAAAUGAUUUUGGAUGUACUCUGCGAUGUCGAUGAUGCAGAGAUGUUGGUGAAGUUCAGGUUAACAACUCCAUGUGUAUAUUUUAAUGAAUAAAGUUUUUGUUGU